rnacentral:rRNA from 1 species
UACGAAGGGGGCUAGCGUUGUUCGGAAUCACUGGGCGUAAAGCGCACGUAGGCGGAUCUUUAAGUCAGGGGUGAAAUCCCGAGGCUCAACCUCGGAACUGCCUUUGAUACUGGGGAUCUCGAGUCCGGGAGAGGUGUGUGGAACUCCGAGUGUAGAGGUGAAAUUCGUAGAUAUUCGGAAGAACACCAGUGGCGAAGGCGACACACUGGCCCGUUACUGACGCUGAGGCGCGAAAGCGUGGGGAGCAAACAGG